GCUCAGGACCGGUUCAGAAAAUCGUCACUGGCGGUGUUGGCCACGAGCGGGAAUGGAACUCGGCUGGUGGGGUCACUGCCGUUCCCCUUCUGUCAACAAACUUGCACUCUGACCCCGCUCUCUGACGUCACCGCUCAGCGUGACCUCAUCGGCGUCAAACGCAAGGGGGAGGUGUGCUUCGCUCAUGACGUCAUGUCACAACGGUAUUCUCCCCACCCCCGACCACGGCGCUCGUGAGCGUGACGUCACGUCCGCUUGGACGCUGCCGAUUUCUGUUCCAUUGCCAAUCCUUAUUUGGGCAAAGCUACGACCAGUGACUGGCGGCUCAUUAACAUAAUGUCUUCGUGAAAGCCGUCGCGAGUUUUUUUGUGACAGGUUCGGCACCCACGCCCCUUCCCUCCACGAAUGGGCCAGGUUCCUUAACAUAAUUUAUUUAAGUUACGGAGCCAAUCGUCGAGUGUUAUAGUACCUACAAGUGACAUCAUGUCACCUCCUGCUGCCGCGUGACGUCGCGACGUAACAGGAAGUUGCCGCUCAGACCGUGCACUGAAAUCCGAGGCCCAGCCCGCUUGAGCUGCUAUAACGCUCUUGUUUUCAGAAGCGACCUGCACACAACACAAGCUGUCACUUCCUCUGCAGAAUUGGUCUGAUGGAGCUAAGGCACUCGGCGCGGCUCGGUACAAAAAGGCAACAAUGCGACCGCCGUGCGUACAGCACGGAUUGUCCUGGACAUUUGACGCAGCACCAGAGAACUCAUACGGGAGAGAAACUCUUCAAGUGCAGUGUGUGUGGGAAGGCGUUAGUACAUUCAUCUUCUCUUGUAAAACACCAGAGAACACACACGGGAGAGAAACCCUUCAA